GGGACAUAUAAGGCGACCUGUUUGCAGCCACUGAAGGCCAAGAAGGGAGUUUUGAUCCUUCGAGAACUGCUUUUCUGCAAUAGAAAAAAUACGGCAAAAUUCUGAACACAAUGAUUUGCUCCCGCGGUCCGUGAAACCCGGGCGCCCAGAUUUUAUACUAUAAGGACUUGGCAAAGCGGCUGACUGAUACUAAGGGGUGCCCCAUCAUCAUCAUUGGCCACGACAUCUUAGCAGAUGAUUGUUGCAGUGAUUUUAUUGUGUGUGUGGCUUAGUAGUCCGAUGGCAGCCCGACACCUUUUGCCACAUCUGUCACAGGUGAAACGCGAGUCAAGAGGAGGAGGAGCUCUGGAACGGAGCCUGUUCUGCUUACGGUUGUCGAGCCAGGCUUUGUCGUGCUCCGUCACCCCGUCGGAGGCUUUCCGAGGCGUACAGGAAAAUACUUAGAACGCAAGUCUGGUAUACAAGGACUUUGGUAGCAAUCGUGAGUUUAUUGUUCUCCCAAACACGUGAGGCAAGUUUGCCGAACGUCGCCGCAGCCUUGCCAAUACGAGCAUCCAGUUCCUUAUUAUUAGACAGGUUUGACUCAGUUAUGGAGCCCAGACAGCAGAAGCUAUCCACAACCUGAAGAGUAGCACCAUCGAGAACGAUACUCGGCAUCACGUCUACGCCCUACGGGGUGCAGGGGCUAAUGAAAACGAAAUUCUUCUGCUGACCUUUAUUUGAACAAAUAUAACCACAGAUGGAUUGAAAGAUCCGCUAUUUUAAAUACUUAUUCUUAUCACUAUCACUUCUCACAAUAUCAAUAUCAUGUCUUCUAAUAAUAACUACAUCAUUGAUUCAUUGUACACA